GUUUAUUUUCAGAGAGAGAGAAAUGUUAUAGCUGGAAAGUUUCCUUUCAUCUCAUAACCACCCCCAUGAAAGUCUCCUCCUACGCAGGCGAUGCCCAUCCUUGCUGUGGAUGGUUGGACAGUGCUGGAAGAGCCAAAUCUUUCCCUUUAGGGGAGCAUUGUUGCCUGCAAAUUCUAGAAUGGAUUCUGAAGAAAGAAAUAAUUAUCUGGAGGUGGUUGGAACAUGCAACAAAGGUGGCCUCCAAGAAGGUGUCACUCCCCCGGGCUGCCAGUGUGGACUCACAGCGCAGGCGAUGCCUGCCAUGCUUCGGGCGGCUGCAUGGGGUUUAAUUUCAUGCUGUCAAACCGUGUGGGAGCGCUGAGCAGCUUUGAAGUUUCUCAGCCUGCUGUGGUGAAGGAGGGAGACAUCAUCAAGGUGAACCAAGGCCCUUCAGUGCAGCUAAAAUUUGCCAGGCGCACAAAAGCCACUUCAGCAGGAGUAUCGAAGUCCUUUUGUCACUUUGGGUGUUGUGACACAGUAUUGGCUGAAGGGAGGAUAAAGCAAACGCCAGGAGACCUGAACGUUGGAGUAGACAACAGCAGCUGCUGCAAG
rnacentral:lncRNA from 1 species